CCGAUGACACCUAGCAGGCUGGUCACGGCUGGAUGCUCUAGCUGGCGGUGACGAGACUUCACUCGAGCUGGCCGGACCUCAUCCUGGGCGUUGGAGGUGGGAAGGCGAGAUCCAAAAAACGUCCUACGCACGUAGAGGCCCACGAACGGGGUGUCACGGGACGCGGGUUCGAUUCCCGCCGCCUCCA
rnacentral:sRNA from 1 species